GAUGAAGAACGUAGCGAAAUGCGAUACUUGGUGUGAAUUGCAGAAUCCCGUGAACCAUCGAGUCUUUGAACGCAAGUUGCGCCCGAAGCCAUUAGGCCGAGGGCACGCCUGCCUGGGCGUUACACGUCGUUGCCCCCCCAUCUACUCCUUCGGGAUUGCGGGGGGCGGAUGAUGGCCUCCCGUGCGCCUCGCCGCGCGGUUGGCAUAAAUGCCAAGUCCUCGGCGACGCACGCCACGACAAUCGGUGGUUGCGAAACCUCGGUUGCCCGUCGUGUGCGGUCGUCGCGCAUCGAGGGCUCGAAAAAAUUGCCGGGUUCCGGCUCGGCUUUCAACGCGACCCCAGGUCAGGCGGGGUUACCCGCUGAAUUUAAGCAUAUCAAUAAGCGGAGGA
rnacentral:misc_RNA from 1 species